CCUGACACUUACUCUGUAGACCAGGCUGGCCUCAAAUUCACAGAGAUCUGCCUGUCUCUGUCUUCUGAGUGCUGGGAU
ensembl:miRNA predicted gene, 23291